rnacentral:tRNA from 1 species
GGGGAUGUAGCUCAGUGGUAGAGCACUUGCCUAGCCUGUUCAAAGUCCUGGGUUUGAUUCCCAGUACUGCCA